rnacentral:rRNA from 1 species
ACGUAGGGGGCAAGCGUUGUCCGGAUUUACUGGGCGUAAAGAGCGCGUAGGCGGAGGGAGAAGUCCGGUGUGAAAUCCCACGGCUCAACCGUGGAACUGCUGGGUAUACUGGCGGUCUUGAGCCACCUAGGGGCGAGCGGAACAAACGGUGGAGCGGUGAAAUGCGUAGAUAUCGUUUGGAACGCCAACGGUGAAAA